UUGAACGCUGGCGGCAUGCCUAACACAUGCAAGUCGCACGCGAAAGGGGGCAACCCCGAGUAGAGUGGCGGACGGGUGAGUAACGCGUAGGAAUCUACCUGGUAGUGGGGGACAACCCGGUGAAAACCGGGCUAAUACCGCAUACGAUCCACGGAUGAAAGCAGGGGACCGCAAGGCCUUGCGCUAUCAGAUGAGCCUGCGUCGGAUUAGCUAGUUGGUAGGGUAAAAGCCUACCAAGGCAACGAUCCGUAGCUGGUCUGAGAGGACGACCAGCCACACUGGGACUGAGACACGGCCCAGACUCCUACGGGAGGCAGCAGUGGGGAAUAUUGGACAAUGGGGGCAACCCUGAUCCAGCAAUGCCGCGUGUGUGAAGAAGGCCUUCGGGUUGUAAAGCACUUUCGAUGGGGACAAACAAGUUCGACCUAACACGUCGGACUCUGAUGGUACCCAGUGAAGAAGCACCGGCUAACUCUGU
rnacentral:rRNA from 1 species